AUGAUUCUACCAAUGCCAGCGGCAUGCACCAGAAACCAGGAAGGAAUCAUACAGCUGAGCCAACCUGCUGUACUUUAAAACACUUGACCACAAUUCUCCAGUGGAUACUCAACCCUGGCUUCAAACUCCCUUGUCUCUCCGCUCCUGUCCUAGGGAUGAGGGAGCAGAAGGCAAGCUUAGGACAAAGCAGAAACUGGCACCCUACACCCUCUCCCCAUGCCAUAUGUGUAACAUUCCUCAUGCACUCCUGGCUGCCCUAAAGGAAAAACGAUGCUUAACUGAUAGAGAUCCCAGUCCUGCAGGACAGGAGUAUCCCUCCAUCUACGAAUGUCCUAGUGACUUACAAGGAAGGAAGAAGCUUUCUCAUCAAUAGCCUGACUUCCAGAGACCCAUACCUCAGUUUCCGGAAGCCCUAACAUCACCCUCCCCUCCAUAAAAUUGAGGGAGGCUAAGGGGGAGGGAAGUGUAAUAAAACUGAAUUUCUUCUAAGCCCAAAUCCCACUGACAAGGAUGUGUGAUAGAAGGAAUGUAACAUAUCUCCAGGAAACUCCCGACUGUCUUCAUGCUUUCCCUCAUUAGAGGCAAAAACAGCCUUGACUUGACAAUAACCAGGUCUCCCUUAUCCUGAAAUUCUUCUUUAGCAUAUGACAGUCCUUCUGGACACCCCCUUUGUCCUCACCUUCCUCAGCUCCCAGUCAACCAUGCCUCUGUCUGAGCAGCUCUUUCUGCCCUUGGGUCCUGUCCCUGUGUUUUAAUAAAACCACCAUUUGCACCUAA